rnacentral:tRNA from 1 species
GCCCCGGUAGCUCAGCGGGUGGAGCGUCGGCCUUGUAAGGGAGGCUGCGCGGGGUUCGAGAAAGCCGAAGGUCCCGGGUUCGAAUCCCGGCCGGGGCUCCA